rnacentral:rRNA from 1 species
UACGGGGGGAGCAAGCGUUGUUCGGAUUUACUGGGCGUAAAGGGCGCGUAGGCGGCGUGACAAGUCACUUAGUGAAAUCUCCGGGCUUAACUCGGAGCGGUCAAGUGAUACUGUCGUGCUAGAGUGCGGAAGGGGCUACUGGAAUUCUCGGUGUAGCGGUGAAAUGCGUAGAUAUCGAGAGGAACACCUGCGGCGAAGGCGGGUAGCUGGGCCGACACUGACGCUGAUGCGCGAAAGCCAGGGGAGCGAACGGG